GAUGAACGCUAGCGGGAGGCCUAACACAUGCAAGCCGAGCGGUAGAGAUUCUUCGGAAUCUUGAGAGCGGCGUACGGGUGCGGAACACGUGUGCAACCUGCCUUUAUCAGGGGGAUAGCCUUUCGAAAGGAAGAUUAAUACCCCAUAAUAUAUUUGAUGGCAUCAUUAGAUAUUGAAAGCUUUGGCGGAUAGAGAUGGGCACGCGCAAGAUUAGAUAGUUGGUGAGGUAACGGCUCACCAAGUCGAUGAUCUUUAGGGGGCCUGAGAGGGUGAUCCGCCACACUGGUACUGAGACACGGACCAGACUCCUACGGGAGGCAGCAGUGAGGAAUAUUGGACAAUGGGUUAGCGCCUGAUCCAGCCAUCCCGCGUGAAGGACGACGGCCCUAUGGGUUGUAAACUUCUUUUGUACAGGGAUAAACCUACUCUCGUGAGAGUAGCUGAAGGUACUGUACGAAUAAGCACCGGCUAACUCCGUG
rnacentral:rRNA from 1 species